rfam:TPA: Bos taurus chromosome 11, whole genome shotgun sequence.
UCCCUGUUGGUUCAGCGGCUAAGACUCUGCACUGCCAAUGCAGGAGCCUGGGUUCGAUCCCUGGUCAGGGAA